GCCCCCAUCGUCUAGCCUGGUCAGGACACAGGCCUUUCAAGCCUGAAACACGGGUUCAAAUCCCGUUGGGGGUACCA
rnacentral:tRNA from 1 species